UGAGGCCCAUUGGUUGUGAAUCACUCAGCAAGGGUGGUAUUGAGUCAAAAUCAGAGGUGCAAGAGGUAUUUUGGAUAGGCCUAGGGCCCUUAGCCCCAAAGCUAAUACACAAGAGGGAAUGGCUCAUGUUUCAUUCCAAUCACCAUGUUUAGACCAUCAACCCUUAUCAACCUUGGCCAAAAAACAUUACCUCUGCCGCGCCGGAAAUCGCCUCCGACGGUGGCGGAGAGGCAAACACCUCAACCUUCAUAUCAAUCCAUGUGUUUCACCGCCUUUAAUCCAAAUCCCACCUUGCUUUUCUCUGAUUAUUAAAUAAGAAUUAAAAUCGAAACCUAAACAUCAAGAACCCUAAAUCCUAAAACCCAUAAAUUAACCUUCAAUCAACCCAAUUCCGAUCCAUAACCAUAUGGAUAUCACUCUACAACACUUAUAUAAUCAAUUGGUAGCGAAAAUAGAAGAGAACAAGAAGAAUCGAGGGAGCCUAUCAGAGCAUCUUAGAGAUGAAGAUGCAAAAAUAAUCAUGUAUUUUGAGUAAGGAUUUUGAAAUUGGAAUUGUGGAUUGUUGGUUGUAAUGUGAUAACUAUGCUUGAAUGUUAAUGUUAGCUUCAUGAACUUGAAUUGAGGAAUUGUGAUUGGUUUGUUUGAUGGAGGGCUGGUAUGGGCUUGAGAUGAGGAUAUGCUCAUGAAGGUUUUGGUCAAGGUAUGGCACAAAGUUGGCAUGGAAUCACAUGGAUCAUGAAGAAACCUUUGGCAAUUCAAGGCAUGUGAAGUUUGGAGUCAUCAAAGACUAUGAAUUGGGAAAUGAUUUAGGAUAACAUAGUUAACUUUAGUCAACCGUUUGACCAAAAAGUCAAUAGUUGACCAAAAGUUAACUGUAGGUGAAAAUGUAAUUUGUAUGAAAUUGUGAUAUUGUAUUUGGUGUAUUGAAAGUGUAAUCUUUUGGAAAUGAAAAGUCUUUUAUAUUAA